GAUGCAACGCGAAGAACCUUACCUAGGCUUGACAUAUAGAGAAAUCCCACAGAGAUGUGGAGUCCGUAAGGGCUCUAUACAGGUGGUGCAUGGUUGUCGUCAGCUCGUGUCGUGAGAUGUUGGGUUAAGUCCAGCAACGAGCGCAACCCUCGUUCUAUGUUGCCAGCGCGUAAUGGCGGGGACUCAUAGGAGACUGCCGGGGUCAACUCGGAGAAGGGUGGGGAUGACGUCAAAUCAUCAUGCCCCUUAUGCCUAGGGCUGCACGCAUGCUACAAUGGCCGAUACAAAGGGCUGCGAUACCGCAAGGUGGAGCGAAUCCCAUAAAGUCGGUCUCAGUUCGGAUUGGGGUCUGCAACUCGACCCCAUGAAGUUGGAGUUGCUAGUAAUCGCAGAUCAGCAACGCUGCGGUGAAUACGUUCCCGGGCCUUGUACACACCGCCCGUCACGUCAC
rnacentral:rRNA from 1 species